UACGAAGGGGGCUAGCGUUGCUCGGAAUUACUGGGCGUAAAGGGCUCGUAGGCGGUCAACUAAGUCAGACGUGAAAUCCCUCAGCUUAACUGGGGAACUGCGUCUGAUACUGGAUGGCUUGGAUUCGGGAGAGGAAUGCGGAAUUCCACGUGUAGCGGUGAAAUGCGUAGAGAUGUGGAGGAACACCAGUGGCGAAGGCGGCUUUCUGGUCUGUAACUGACGCUGAGGCGCGAAAGCGUGGGGAGCAAACAGG
rnacentral:rRNA from 1 species